UCCUGGCUCCGGGUAGCGAUGAAACUCUUCCCGAUGAGGGGUACCUGCACCAUCCGGACCCUCUCUAAAUGGAGGGCAGCCACGCUCAGCGGGCCAGAAUGGAGGUGAUGCCUGCCGUCCUUGAGGGGUCGAAAGCGUUAGUGUUGGAAUAUUCAGAACAGUACUCAGUGCAUGAUCUGUGCUUGAAAGAUGUCAGCUAUUUGUAUUUUUAUUUUUCAUCUGGUCCAGCCCCUGCCACCAGACAGGACUGAAGCCAGGCAGUGGAGCCUGUUCUUAGAGGCUGAAUCUGGAGUUUUCCUCACAAGUGAUUCCAGAAAGGAGAGUCCCCCCUCUUGGACCACUGUUGUGAGAUCUAAGAUUAUGAAGGCUCAGAUGAGUUCUUUGUGUCCCAGUUUCGUCUUUUGUGAAACAGAGCUGCUUAUGCCUACCAUGCAGGGCUGCCAGGAGGAUGAAGAGGGAUAAAGGUGCAAAAGUCCUGCUGUGUGGCUCUUACCUCCAUCACUGACACCCUCAGUGGACUAACAGAUCCCUACUAUCCUGAAAGUCUCCAGCAAACCAGAGCGCUUGUUGAGCACCUGCUCUAUGUGGGCAUCAUGCCAGCCUCUGGGACUGGAGGCAGAAGACAAACCUGGAACUGCCUGCUCUCAAGAGCAGAGGUGCAAACCCCACAUGCAUUAAACCAAAACAGUGGCUCCAACCUCCGGGAUAUGAUGAAUCCUUCCCAGGGAGUAAUAAAUCUACAGCUGAGUGGUGAGAUACAGAUCCAAGCUCCAGAGGAGUUGAAGAACAAGAAAGGAGCUUCUGAGAAAUGGGUGGCACAGUGUCACUGAGGGGCUGGCACUGGCCCAGCCGUUUUGACUUGGAAGUGCACUUUGGGGUCUAACCUGAAUCUUUCCUGCUGCAAAAGGAUACUAUUUUCUCCUGAUCCCAUCAUCCCAAUGAUGGCUAUUAUGAAUUAGAAGCCGAGUGGACAAAUGUAAGAGGAGCAGAAAAGAUUCAUAGCCUGCGAUGAUUGACUCUGCUUUUAACCAAGUUGCGUAGAAGCAACGAGUGUCACUUCCAGGAAGAUGGAUGAUGUCUCUGCAGCGGGGGAUGAGAGCCCAGAGGUUUGCAACUUCCCUGGUAAAAGUUUGUUCUUGUUUAGA